UGUGGUGUCUAUUUCUAUAAAGAGAGGGUAAAUUAUAUGUUUUGAGGGGUCUCUUUUAGUUUGAGUGCAUCUAGCCAAAUGAAGCAGGGUGAUGAGGCACUGCACAUCAAAUUAUUCCUCCAAAGACCUCAGAACACCCGUGAUGGUGGAAAAAGUUACUGUGGCAAACUGCAGCUCUGACAAGAUUUCAACAGCGGAUUUAACUGGCCCAAUAUGCAUAAAUUACAUUUCUUACAAGCAAAAUGUGUGCCCAGCCAGAGUUUGCCAUCUCUGAAGAGACAAUUUCCAUUUCUGAUGCUCCUCCUUUGACAACAGCCCCUAAUCCAGUGCCAGAGCAAUGACAGCCCACAGCUUCUUCCAUUUGCAGCUUUCUUAUGGAGAGAAAAGGGGAUAAAGAACUCAGGGGAUGUGUGCUAGUGGGUGGAUGGACUGACAUGUUGCACUUCAUUUUCUCCACCAAAGUGCUGGACUGUGAACUCAUACCACAAAAGUAUUAGAAAAGGCAGGAAAUUGAGUUUUUUAAUGGAAGUGGAGAAAUAGCAUAGAUACAGAUACCUUUUCUCUGUGACG
rnacentral:lncRNA from 1 species